UCAACAAGGAGCAGGUGCACCUCACUGUCC
rnacentral:piRNA from 1 species